CCCUAAAUCUUGAUGCUUACCCCACUGAAGCAUCCGCCUGAGAACUACGAGCACAAACGCUUAAAACUCUAAGGACUUGGCGGUGCCCCAAACCCACCUAGAGGAGCCUGUUCUGUAAUCGAUAACCCACGAUAUACCCAACCGUCCCUUGCCACAGCAGCCUACAUACCGCCGUCGCCAGCUCACCUCUACCUGAGAGUGCAACAGUGAGCACAAUAGCCCUACGCCGCUAACAAGACAGGUCAAGGUAUAGCUCAUGGGGCGGAAGAAAUGGGCUACAUUUUCUAAGAUAGAAAACACGAAAAGGGGUAUGAAACUACCCCUGGAAGGCGGAUUUAGCAGUAAAGCGGGACAAUAAAGCCCCC
rnacentral:rRNA from 1 species